CCCGGUUUGGAAAUGUGACAGUAGCCUUACCCGUCUUGCCCGGUACAACUGACGCAAACAGACGGCGGCGCUCCACAAGCCGUGUGCGGCCAGAACGCAGAACGCCCAGUGUGAAACGGUGGCGGCCCAGGGGCGGUCGGGAAACUCGCCGUACCAGGUCAGAAUAUCCCAGAGUAGGAUGGACAACACUGCUGCAGCGAAAACCACACGGGGAUAGUAGCCGUACAGAGACAUCCUGUCGCAGAAGGUGGACGCCAAGGCGAAGUUAUUCAUACCUGUGGACGGAGUCUUCCACCAUUUCCCACCGCUGAGCCAGGCGAACAGGCUGUGGAAACGAACACUGGGACUUCGUCGAUGAACUGCAAUCUGUCGAAUGCCUGAGACCCAAACAUGUAGAGUACGUAGCUGAAGACCAUGCCGGGGGAUUCUCCUAAAAGCUCCCGCAUAUUUUCUCUGACGGCCGGGUCCGGCGAUUCUAGCUGCUCAUGAACCUGAAUCAGUCGGAUUC